rnacentral:rRNA from 1 species
UACAGAGGUCUCAAGCGUUGUUCGGGAUUCAUUGGGCGUAAAGGGUGCGUAGGCGGCGCGGUAAGUCGGGUGUGAAAUCUUGGAGCUUAACUCCGAAACUGCAUUCGAUACUGCCGUGCUUGAGGACUGGAGAGGAGACUGGAAUUUACGGUGUAGCGGUGAAAUGCGUAGAUAUCGUAAGGAAGACCAGUGGCGAAGGCGGGUCUCUGGACAGUUCCUGACGCUGAGGCACGAAGGCCAGGGGAGCAAACGGG